GGAUGGUAAGGCAGAGUAGGUGGUGAGAGGUAGUUUUCUCUAAUAACACAUUUUUCCUUGGUUCAUGCAAAACAGAACCACAAAUGUUUCAGUUAAGUUGUUUUCUUAAAGAGAAAUUAUUAGCACUGGACUCAGACUAUAAUUUUGUCGUAUUAGAGAAUGUUACUGCUGCCAAAAGAAAUAUGAGAAACCCCAGACACAGCAUGUGGGAGCUUAUCCUCAGGAAAUCCUUGUGGUCUACUAUUCCUGUAAAUUUUAGCUGACAGAAGAUACACAUCAUAGCACCAGAAAGAAUUCUGCUAAACGAAAAAAUGCCACAAGUCUUUGGUUGUGCUAAGCUUGUCCUGAUGGCUGAAAUAUAUUUUUGUAAGAAAAAGAAGCUAAAAUAGACAGGAAACCCCAACAUUUUUGCUGAACAAGCACUGCAAUAAAACGCCUCUCUAAGUCCAAUCUACCUGCUCUUCAUGCUUCCCCCAAGAUAACAGAUCCCACACGAAUGGAUAUAUAAAGUCUGAACCACUCCUUUCAUGCACUGUUUAUUUUCUGCAUGGUUUAUGGUGCAUUCUGUAGAAGUGCUGGUACAAUUAUUGCUGGUUUGCAUUUAAAAAGGAAGAUUAGUGCAGAAAUGGAAGUGAUGGGUAAAAUGCUUUUAUAAUUAGGUUCUCUCUUCUAAACUGCUUUAAGCUCUUAUAGAUAGAACAAGAUAUAACCUUUCAGGUUUAAAUACUAAUAAACACCCUCCGUGUGGCAGGUAAGAUCUAGGCACAGGGGCAAAAAUGAAAUAGGUGAGGCCUUUGCUAAAAGCAUGAUACAUCCAGGUUUCAAGAGUACUAAGGAAAAUACUGAGCAGUCUGAUACUUUCUGAGUAAGCUACCAUAUUUCAGGAAAAUCCUCUCUGGGUUUUAGUUGCCUUGAGUACAAAAUAAGAAUGCUAUGGCAUUCUUAAACUUGUUCAAGUGAUAAAACAAUAGUUAAAAUGUCCUUUGGGAAACAAGAUAAAAGAGUGGUAUGUUAAAAUAAAGAACUCCGUGUUAACUCUGAUGCCAUUUUAUCAAAUGUAAUCAGCCAAAUCUAGAAUAUGGAAAAGCUACAGAUCAAAUUACUCAGUUCCUUCAACAAAUAAAUGGUUAAUAAAGGUAGAGGAGGUGGAGAAAACUGCUAAAGACUAAAGAGACAUAACACCCAAAUGUGAUGGGUGGACUUUGUUGGGAUCCUGGUUGGAACAAUUAUAAGUAGGUAUUUUUGAUACUUGAGGAAAUUGAAACACAAACUAGGUUUUAGACAGUAUUAGGGAAUUAUUAAUUUUAUUAGAUAAUUGUAUUAGGGUUAGCAUUUUUUAAAAAAGAGAGAAUGUACUUAUCUGUUAGAGACACAUACUAAUUACAGGUGAAAUUAGGUAAUGUCUGAGAUUUGCUUAAAAUACUCCAUGAAAAAAGGUGGGGGUGGAAGGGGAAGAGAUGAGACAGACAGUUUGGCAAAAUGUCAGCAACUGCUCAAGCUGAAGCUGGGUGAUGGGUACAUGGAACUUUCACUGUUAUUGCUCUCCUUUUAUGUAUAAUGUUGAAAGUCCAUUAUAAAAAGUUUUAAAAAAUCAGAUGCUAGGUUUUCCUAGAGUGUGGUAUAAAAGAUUUAAGAAAAUACAAUGGCAGAAAAAUGUAGAAUUGAAAAAUUCAAAUUAUAAUUUUAAUCUGGGAAAAAUAAAACUAUUAAACUUUAGAAUUGAACACUCAAGCCUUUAUAAACUUCCAUAUAAUGGUAGUGAUACUUUUUGUAUCUACUGAAAGAGAAUAUGACAAAAAGCAAAUGUUAAUUUAGUGACAUCUGUAAAUGAACUUGAGUGUUAAUCAUAUAAGCAUCAACGAGUAUAACAUAUACAUAUUUAAUUUAUAAAAAUAUUCAUAUCACGACACUAUAAAACAACUAUACUUCAAUAAAACUUUUCAAUAUGGCAAAGGGAGUUCCCAUCAUGGCACAGCAGAAAUGAAUCUGACUAGGAACCAUGAGGUUGCGGGUUUGAUCCCUGGCCUAGCUCAGUGGGUUAAGGAUCCAGUGUUGCCAUGAGCUGUGGUGUAGGUCGCAGAUGCAGCUUGGAUCUGGCGUUGCUGUGGCUGUGGUGUAGGCCAGCGGCUAUAGCUCUGAUUCAGCCCCUAGCCUGGGAACCUCCAUGUGCCACGGGUGUGGCCCUCAAAAGACAGAAAAGACAAAUAAAUAAAGGAUGUCCUCAAAUAUAUUAUUCCAAAUAAAGGCUAAUGGGCAUUUUGAUCUUCUGUAGUGGGAAGAACAACAAUCGGUAUAUAAGCAACACUCUAAGAAUCCAGAGGCAAUGAAGUCAGUAUACAAUACCUGUACUCCUGUGGCGUACACUGAGCUUUCGGCCUUUUCUCCUAAAUCCUUAAGGCAUGAUUUUGCUUCUGGGAACUCAGAACACCUGGUACAGAACCAGGAAAACUAAAAUUGAGCCAAGGUUUUCAUCUAAAAAUAGACUGGAAAUGAGCAGAAUCUCUUCCUCUGUUUCCUAAGUAAUGGAAGCCUCCAGGCAUCUACUCUCAUUUACUCAACCAACCUACCAGAUUCAAGAAAAUUUUAAUAUUAAAGGACGAGCUGGUAUAACUCCUUUAUAACUGAUGGGAAGCAAGCUUUAGAGAAAUUAAUUCAUUCAAGAUUAGCAUUGCUAAUUAAUGUCAGUCUCUUGACAACCAGUCUAGCCCCUUUUCCACAAUGUUUUCCAAAAAAUGAAAGUCAUUAAUAGAACUACAUUAGAUACCAAGAUAACCAGUAAAAAUAAUUUAAGAACUGUAUAUCAUAGUUUGAGACAAAGGAAUUUGCAUUUUAAUAAGUGCAAUAAAAAUACACCAGAGAGAUACCUACCUACUAUCUUUUGCAAUAUUUGCAUAUUUUUGAAAAUGUGAAAGUCUAUUGGAGCUCUAAGUAUAUGCGAUGAAGCAAUGUAGAAGAAAUAACAUGAUCCAGAGAGAAAAAGUAAAGUUUUGUCCCUCAAAUCUUUACUAGCUUUGGUCUGAAUGGUCAAUUUUUUUAUGUCAAUAGGGUUCUGAUUUAGUAACUCCAUUAAGAAACAUUCUAUUUCACAGUGAUAAAAGCAUGAGUUUUGUCAUGUUUCUGAUCUCAGUUACUAUUCAAAAGUAAAGUAGGAGUUCCCGUCGUGGCACAGUGGUUAACGAAUCCGACUAGGAACCAUGAGGUUGCGGGUUCGGUCCCUGCCCUUGCUCAGUGGGUUAAGGAUCCAGCAUUGAACGAAUACAUGAAUGAAUGAGGAUCCUGAAUUGCCGUGAGCUGUGGUGUAGGUUGCAGACGUGGCUCGGAUCCCGCGUUGCUGUGGCUCUGGCGCAGGCUGGCAGCUAUAGCUCUGAUUAGACCCCUAGCCUGGGAACCUCCAUAUGCCGUGGGUGCGGCCCAAGAAAUGGCAAAAAGACAAUAAUAAUAAUAAUAAUAAAAAACAAAAACAAAAGUAAAAUGUAACUGAAAAUAUGUUUUCAGGAAAAAGAUGAUAUAAUAAUACCUGAAAUUUUUUUACUUAUUCCAGGCAGCAAGCUCCAUUAUCAAGACAGCAAAUACUGUCAAUGUAUACGCACACAGACAAAACCAGUUUCCUUCCAUUGGUCAAAUCAAUAAUGCACGCAGGAAAGAAUCUGCAAAUGUUACUUAUUAAAGUACCUUACUGUUCUUUAGAGAUGUAUAACAACAUUUAAAAAUACAAAGAAAAGAGAAUCUCUCAAGCAAGAGAGGAAUUUUUUUUACAAGUUUUCCUCAUACGUGGGAGAUUGCACGAGAGCCAUCUCAUGUUCAUUUGCCUAAUUUAGUGCUGGGGGACAGGGAAAGCUAAACCUGGACACACUGCCAACAAAGGGUUAAUAUUUAGUAAUUUACUGAGAAGUAUGAAGGAUGAAGGAGGGAAAGAAACCAAGACAAGAAAGGCUUUCCCAGUUCUGAACAAUUACUUUCCCCAGUCGUGAACAAAGAAAAAAGAAUGAAAAAAGGAGUUCCAGUACAAAAAAUAUGGUUAUGGCGGACAGAGAAUUCACACAGUUCCUUGAGGACAACGCUGUCUCUAUAGGAAAGUUACCAAAGAUGGUUUAAAUGCGCUCUAAAUACUACAAAGAGGUAGAAACAUUAGUCCUUGAACUCAAAAGUUCUUGUUUUCAAGUACUCUUCCCUCUAGGAGUAGAGGUCAAGAUAAGACCAAUGACUCAAAGGUUCUGGAGUUCAUCUAUACUGAAAAAAAUCUGACAGCUAUGGAAGAGCAAUGUCGGAACUAAUCACCUGAGCUAACUAGAGAAUUCUUCCUCUCAAGACAUUAUAAUUAGAGAUUAUAAUAAAAGGGUAAAAUGACAAUAUUCACAUUGCAGUACUUAUUUUGCUUAAUACCCAGGUUAGAUAUGGUAUCCAACCUUUUCUAAACUUUGUCCUACUGCUGCUUAGCCUGAGAGGUUCGAGUGUGAGGUAAUGUUGUCCUUCCCACUUCGGCCUCUAGGGGGCAAUCAGGCUCCAAGAGAAAGGAUACUGGGGACUCUAGCCUUGAUGAAAUGAAGAUGGUCCUAGGUCAAGCACCAGGAAUUGGGCCUGGGAACCUCAUUCUUCCUUCCUUUCCUAAUUCCUCUACUGCACCAUCUUCCAGAGCACCCCCAGUCUACCCAGACUGGGAAGACUCAAAGGUGACUUCUGGAAAGAGAAUACAAAAGUUCAAAAUUAGAAGAAAAGAUAAUAAAAUUCACUAAUAAUUAAGGACACUGGCAUUAAACCAAGAUAUUUCAAAAAGUUUUAAGUAGGGAAAGGAUGUGAUUAGAAUACUUUCCAAAACUUUGCUUGAUUUUGAAUUUUAACACAGCACAUGACUCUCUGAGUUAGUUUUAAGACAUAAACAAGACUGACUUCUGAUUCUGAAAAUCACUAAAAUAACAGCAUUAUACCAAAUAUACCAAAAAUAUCCCAGUUAAAUUUUCGUAGAGGAGAGGUUAGGUCCUGUCCUGUGAUGGACAUAGUGAGCUUUCUGUUCAACCUCCAUCCAUGCUACACUCCUUCCUAGUGUGACUCUUGUAUUAAAGAGAUGAAAAAGCUAAAUGAGAUAUUUUCUAAAUUAUAUUGCAGCUAGAGUUCUAGAUAUAAAUGAGGGUUGCUAAUUUCGAAGGAAGCAGAAAUCCAUUUCUUGCUGCCUUUCCCCCUCCCCCUCCCCACUAACACAACCAUGGAAGCCUAUGAUUUCUAAAGCAGUAUUCCAAUACGCAUUCUCUUGCUUCCUGGUAAUGCAGAGGCAGUUACGGUAGAGGCAGUGGACAGAUAACCUGAAACAUACUGCACAGGCUUAGUAGCAAUCAAGUGGUAGAUGGCAAGGAAAUACGUCACAGGUUAAAAAAGCUGAAGAUUCACUCUAGUCAAACAGCCACUAUUGCCACUGCAUUGUAAUACCUUGAAAGACAAAUCAUAUACCCAACAUGCUUUCUUUCACCUCUGCAAAAGAAGGCUCUCUGCCUGUGGCCUGAGAUUCUAGUUGACUGAAAAUGGUGGGGGUGGGGUGGGGGCAGUGUUCUCAAGGCUGGAAAAGCCAAAAGGCAGGAAAUAAGAUAGUGGCCUCCAGCUUUUCCCAAAGACCCUCCCUCAAGAUAACGGGAACCAGCCCAGCUGCUAAAAUCUGAUUAAGGAUACCUUUCCACCCAAGCUUCUUAUUGCAGAUGAUGCGAGAAAUGAUCCAAAACAGAACCAGUAAGCAAUCCACAGACAUCAGAUUUGAGAGCUAAGUCUGUUUUUCUGUUUGUUUGUUUUUAGGGCCUAACCCUUCGCAUAUGGAAGUUCCCAGGCUAGGGGUCGUAGGGGUCGAAUCGGAGCUACAGCUGCCGGCCUACGCCACAGGCACCUCGACAGCAACUCAGGAUCCGGGGAGCAUCUGCAACCUACAAUACAACUCAUGGUAACGCCAGAUCUUUACCAUGCUGAGCAAGGCCAGGGAUCAAACCUGCAUCCUCAUGGAUCCUAGUCGGGUUCGUUAACUGCUAAGCCACGAAGGAAACUCCCUUGAGAACUAAGUCUAAAUGAGCUCUUUGACUGUGCUUACUUGUGUAUACGUCUGCCUAGAAGCAAACAGCCUAGAAGUCUACCUUUCAGGGAACUAUACUGUUAAGGAAACCAAAAUCCUGCAAAAAUUCGUACUUAUUUAUCCUCUAAAGCAGCUCUGGGGCCCACAACCUACACCAGCAGGAAUCAGACUGUGGAAGGUGUACCGUCCCCAAGAAAGGUACACUACCAUACCCAUUUCACGGAAGCUACAGAGUGCUCAAGAUGAGGAGGUAAGUUCUCAGAGGGCACAAGCAAAGGUCAUGGAGGACAACGGAUAGGAGUUAAUCCUAGAGAACAGGACAGGCGCCACAAAAUCGGUUAACCAAGAAGACUUCUUGAAGGAAGACUGCAAGAAACAGAUGGCACACUCAAAAGGGACAACUGAAAAGAGUUUAUAAAGAAAUGACCGCUUAUCUACAAAGCCGUAAGAUGGGGUAAGGCAACCAAGUGGGAAUAGUGAGGCACCGAGGGACUAGCAACAGCAGAAAUUUAUUAUCUUCCAAGGGCCUAAAAGCCAAAGCAAAGAAGCAGCAUCACUGAAGAUGAAGAGAUGAAGCUAAAGGAAUCCUCCAGCAGGACCCGUUGCUUUAGGUACAGGAACACAAUCGCUCCCCGACAGUAGCCCUGCUGGGAGGAAUGAAAAAUAUAAAUGCCUCUCUCUUCUACCCUCUUCCAAAAGUCUGAAUAUCUGUGUCCUCCCAAAAUUCUUCUGUUGAAAUCUAAUC
rnacentral:lncRNA from 1 species